AAAUUCGGCACUCAGAGAACUCGAGUGCUGGAAGGCGACAACUGAGUAAAUGUUGAUCAGUUUGUGCGAGGUGGUCAGAAUUGGUUUGUUUUUCUGCGGCAAAACUAGAAAAUUUACAUGGGUUCUGAGACGAAAUGAUGAUGGUCCAAAUAAAUUUGCCAAAGCUGAAUCUGGUACGGCAUACUGGGUCCCGGCCCGAGAGACGAAACCCGACGGGUGAAAAAAAAUUUCAACAAGUUUGUGGAUUUUUUUAAAAAUAAAGGUGUAUGGACAUU